rnacentral:rRNA from 1 species
AACGAACGCUGGCGGCAGGCUUAACACAUGCAAGUCGAACGCUCGUAGCAAUACGGGAGUGGCGGACGGGUGAGUAACGCGUGGGAACGUGCCCUGAGGUACGGAAUAACUGCGGGAAACUGCAGCUAAUACCGUAUGAGCCCCGCAAGGGGAAAGGAUUUAUCGCCUUGGGAGCGGCCCGCGUCGGAUUAGCUAGUUGGUGGGGUAACGGGCCUACCAAGGCUUCGAUCCGUAGCUGGUCUGAGAGGACGAUCAGCCACACUGGGACGUGAGACACGGCCCACGACUCCUACGGGAGGGCAGCAGUGGGGAAGUCUUGCGCAAUGGGGGCGAACCCUGACGCAGCCAUGCCGCGUGAAUGAUGAAGGCCUUAGGGUUGUAAAGUUCUUUUGCCCGUGACGAUGAUGACGGUAACGGGAGAAUAAGCUCCGGCUAACUUCGUG